ensembl:lncRNA
GUUGUUCCUAAGCGGCAGAAGCCAGACACAGGUGUUAAGUAUGAGACAAGGAUUUCGUUUUGGGAAACAGGAUUAUCCCUCAACAUGGCUUUAGUGAGAAGAAGAGCAAUGCUGCUAAUAUUAGGAACAAGGAAGCACGUCAAAUCCCCACGUACAGCCUGAGGAAGUCAAGGAGAGAUACAUGGCUUGAGGAAGCAAGAAAAGACUCAAAGAAUAACCCCUGCAAGUAGCAGAUCCGGGGUCCACGUGAACAAGGAGGUGCCCGGGAGAGGCUGAGUGAGGGAUGCUGCUUUGAGAGGAUGCCAAGGUUCUGAAGUUCCCGUAUCCUAGAGCCACCUAGCUGAGCGAUUCUGGCCCAGGGUCUCGGCAGUCAAGCUGUCUCCCAGCUCUGCAGUCAUCUCAUCUGGCUUGACCAGGACUGAAGGGUCAGCUUUCGAGCUCACUCAAGUGUGAUGAGCAGGCCUCAAUCGCCUCAGACGACCAUCUAGUAUCGCCAUCCUUAACAUAAAGGAGGCUACGUUUGUAUCAUCACAAUUGCGCGAUUGAACUAUAGGGGAAGAGAAAUGUCUUUUGGUUUCUGAAUGUUUCCUCUUGAUGUUUCUAUUGCCCUUAAAAGAAAUUUCAGUGAUGGUCCGGAUGACUGGAGGCCACAAUGAGUUAUUGAAUUCAACCCCUCUGAGAGGCUCUGGGCUUUCCUGUGAUGGUGACAAGAUUGUCCAUGCUGGUCCGAGCAUCCUGUCUUUGCACAUCAGUGACCCGGGCCGUCAAGAAGAAGGGCAUGGCUUCCCCGCAGUGAGUUCUGUGUCAGUGCAGAGGUUCUCUUCAGGGUGAAGAGCCAAGGCUGUUCCUCUGGGAGGAUCAGCCCACGGUCCACAUCAAUUAAGUGAAAGAGCCUACAGAUUAGUUACCUGCUUAAAUGUGUGUACCAAGUCAACUUAUCUACUUGGCAGUUAUCUCUUCUUUAUAAAAUAGGACACAAGAGAAAACAUUUGACUUGUGUUUGGUCAGAUUUCCAAUAAAUAGAUAAUUUUAACCCAGAAUAUUUUGAAUAAUCUCAUUAACAUACCUCUGCAGUUGACUUCUCUGGAUUCAAUCUGAAUAUUACUAGCAAUCGACUGUGACUACACUGGGCCAAACUUCAGAGUCUGGAAUCAUAAAGACCUAAGUUACAGCGACUGAGUUCUUUGGUACUGAGUAGCUGUAUGUUAAGCAUGGCUCACAGAAAUAGAUAAUGCCUUGUGCUCCCCUAUGCUCCUGACACCUAGUUUAUGCAUCACUUCUGAUUUACAUGGAUGUUGAAAUGCCUCAUGGGAAAGUGGCACAUGGAGACUGAUAAGCUGAAUAGAUUGAGAUAUGAGAACGGAGACAGAUGGCAAGAUUGUGAGUUUUCAGAGAGAACUCUACCUUGGAAGUUGUGAAGUGUGGCACGAUGGGGCAGCUUCAGCGACAGGGCCUGAGGCUCCUGGUACUGUCCGGCUGCCUUGACCUAGACUUUCUGGAAGCAUUGUAUGCUGUGGGCGUAAAGUGCUGUGUGACAUUCUCAAAGAGCCACGACCCUGAAGUCUGUAUUCAUUUGAGACUCUGCUACACAGAAGCAGGAUAAAGGUAAAGGAGAUAUUUCAUUGUCCUCUUCAGGUAAUGGAGAUGACACCAGUGUCUGGGGCAGUUCAGUAGCAGCAUGAGCAUCAGCCUGAAUGGUGCUCCGAAUACCUAAGUGGGAAACAGAAGGAGAUAGAAGAGUGGACCAUGCAGAGUAUGGAGCAACUCCGAGUGGAGCUGGCCUGGGUCUUGAUGAUUCUAUGGCUCAUCGGGUAUAUAAUCAAUGCCCUGCAGAUUCUGCUAGAAGAGAGCCUUCUGGAAUAGGACUGAAGUUCUGCAUUAUGAAGUCUUUUUCAGGUGUGACUUGGACCUGGAUCUUCCAUAUAAAUUUCAGAGUUACAAAAACCUAAAACAAAAUGAGCAAAGCAGUUGGUAUACUGAUGAUUGGAAUUGCACGGAUUCUAUGUAUCAGUUUCGGGAAAUCUGACGUACUGACUUUUGCCUGAGCACACUUUCUACAUUUGAAAUUUCAUAAAAGCACUGGAAAUUCUUGAAAAAAUCUGGACUCUUUAUUACAAUGUUUGACAAAUAUGUAUCUUUCUAAUAAUUAAUGUGUUCUGAUGUUCUGUAAUUGUUUUAUCAUUUGUCAGUGUAGUCUAUCACAAAUUAAGUGAUGUAUUAAAGGCUAUCUUUACGGCCUUGUGUUUGUUAAUAAAGGUAUAUAUUUCUAACAAUUCUUGCAUUUUACAUUUGAAACUAUGUUGUGGGGUACCUAAGCUUCCUUAAAUUUACUAUUUAUGUACCCUAUUUGCCUCAUACGAUACUCAUGCCUUGACCUUUGCUUUGGGGCGUGGAGGGCAAGGUGGUCAGCAAGCAGUUAAAGUAACAAUCUGGAAUUCAGGGACAGGGCUGCAGCAGAGAUUAGAAGUGGACGUCAUACACAUGAAAAUGGGAGGUGAAGCUUUGAGAGUGAGUGGAAAUAGGGGAAGAAUAGAAGGGGACAAAGGAAUCAAGGUACAUUAUUUUAGAAACCAGUUUUUAAAGGACUAGCAAGGGAGACUCUCAUCAAGCAAGCAGAGGAGAAGCAGAAUAGGGUUUGGCAGAGAAGGGACGCCCAGAGAGACUCUGUCAAGAAGGUGCAGUUGGCAAGAGCAUCAAAGCCUUCAUCAUGGACAAGGACAGUGACAUCCACUUCCUGCCUGUUUAUUCAAACAUACACACUAGAGUGUAAGAUUGAGGGCAAGAAUAUUUUUAGAUGUUUUCUUCACUGGAGAAUCUCCAGAUCAUAAACAUUGCCUGGCACAGAGUGGAUAGUGAUAAGAUUUGUUGAAUGAAUUAAAAAUAUAAUCUUGUUGAUCAUUAAAAUGAAACAAUUAGCAAAUCCUAUAUGAUUUCAAGAGAGGUGAACUCUGAUAUUCAAAUAUGAUUCUAGAUCCCAUUAUACUAUAUUGUAACUUAUAGGGUUAAGAAAGAUAUGCCACAAAGGAGAGCAGUUCAAAACGCUUGGGUUAUAAAACAGUUUACUUGGGCCUACUGCAUAAAAGUAUCAAAUGUUCACGUUGUAACAUUUUUUUCCUUAAUCUCCCCUAUUUUCAUAGAGAUACACACAUUUAUUAAUAACUCUUAGUUUAUCUGUCCUAAUGGUAAUAGCACAUCAGAAUAAAA